rnacentral:lncRNA from 1 species
AUUCCUAAUGGUGACUACUAAUUAUUUCAGAAUUGGAGGAAGACUUGCCUUCCUGUUACAGCUGCCUGGAUUGCUGGAGUCUGAUUCAUACCUAGCCAUUGAAGUCAGCCUUUGACCAGAGAAUCCCUAAGCCAUGGAUUCUUUCUGGCUUUGGAAGAUGGGACAGAAGAUGUAGAUGGUUAACCAUCCCCCAAGGAUGGAGGAUCUCACUACCCUUCACACCCAGGGAUGACCUCAUCAUUAGCUCUAAUAUGAAGUCUAAUGCUUCCAGUUGCAUAAGUUGGGGCAAAGUACUUACUCUCUCUAGGGUUCACAUUUUUCAUGGUAAAUGAUGUCUAUGAUAGAGGGGUUACUGCUGGGACUAAAGACAGAAAACAGGCCAACGGCAUUCUCCAGUGGCUUACAGACAAGCAGUGCCUGAUGUAUUUUGGGUCCUCCAUAUCACUUUUUAAAAAAAUUAUGGUAAGAACACUUAACAUGAGAUCUGCCCACUUAAGAAAUGUCUAAGUGUACAACACAGUAUUGUUAUCUAUAGGUACAACGUUGUACCGCAGAUCUAUAGAACUUGCUCGUCUUGCCUAACUGCAACUUUAUGCCCUUUGAAUAGCAACACAUCAAUUUCCUCCCACUCUCAACCCCCGGCAACCACCUUUCUACUCUCGCUCCUGUGAGUUUGACUAUUUUAGAUGCCUCAUGCUACAUUUGUCUUUCUGUAACUGGCUUAUUUCACUAAACACAGUGUCAUCCAGGUUCAUCCAUUCUGCUGCAUAUUUCAUGGUUUCCUUUUUUGUUCAGGCUGAAUAAUAUUCUAUUGUAUGAAUAUACCAUAUUUUCUUUAUCCAUUUUUUUUUUUUUUUUUGUGAGAUAGAGCCUCACUCUGUCAACCCAGGCUGGAGAGUAGUGGUAUGAUCUCGGCUCACUGAAACCUCUGCCUACUGGGUUCAAGCAAUUCUCCUGCCUCAGCCUCCUAAGUAGCUGAAACUACAAGUGCACACCACCACAUCCAGCUAAUCUUUGUAUUUUUAGUAGAGAUGAGGUUUCACCAUGUUGGCCAGGCUAGUCUCAAACUCCUGACCUCAGGUGAUCCACCCAUCUCGACCUCCCAAAGUUCUGGAAUUACAGGCAUGAGCCACCACGCCCGGCUUCCUUCCACUCUUUCAGCAAUGGACAUUUAGGUUAUCUCUAUACCUUGGCUAUUGUGAGUAGUGAUGCAAUGAACACGGGAGAGCAAAUAUCUCUCUGAGGUCUUGAUUUUGAUGAUUUUGGAUAAAUACCCAGAAGUGGGAUUGCUUCCACUGGUAGUUCUAUUUUUAAUUUUUUUCGUUGUCCUCCACAGAUUUCUCUAACACAUGCUUCUAACUUCAAAUUUCUUUACUCAUAGCACGGAUUCCAGUACCGAUCCACUCUCAAUGCUGCCCAUUUCUGUAUUUUUCUGACAAUUUCCAAGUAUUUUAUGAAUAAGUAUCUCUUUUCUUGGCUAAUGGAUAGAACUGAAAUUGCUUUAUAACUACCAGUGGUGACUGUGAUGGGAAGGAUGACAGCUGAUGCUAAAAAAUUAACACUGAACUUCAGAGUGGUAGCAAAAAAAUGAGGGUUAUUUCAGAAACCACAAUUUAUAAACAACAGACUUCCUAACAGGCUAGAACAAUAAGAAAGUAAAAUUGUGGAUCCCCAUCCUUUCAGUGUUGGUUUGUUUUUGUUUUAUUAUAAUUAUAUAAUAAAUAUUACACUUUCAUUUUAUAUACAGAAAUGUGAAUAUUUAAAUUUUAUUAUAAUAGAAUCUUUAAUAAAAUCAACAAAUAUAGUACACUGGAACAAAUACACCUAUCUCAGAAAACACAUUGAGGGCAGAAAGAAUAUUCACUUAUAAGUGCAAUCAGUGCCUUCAAUUAUAGUUGAGUUCCAAAGAUAUAAAAUGUAAAAUGUAACUAUAUCAUAUAUGAUGGUUUGCUUCCUGUGAAAUCCACUCAUUAAUACCUUAAAGGCCUUCCCGUGAUCCUGUUUAAUAAUAUAUUCUUAAAAGGGUGUUAUUCUCUGCAACACACAUUUUUAAUUCUGGAUAUUUAAAAAAACAAACUCAACAUUUUUCUUGGCAUUUUUUGCAAAUGAAUUGGAGUUCAUUCAGACAUUCAAUUCAGUAAAAACAAAAAACACAUACAUUUCUGCAGAGCCACAGUUGAAGAGCAUGGGCUUAGGAGAGCAGACCCCCGGGUCUGGUCCCAGUUCUCCUGCCCCUCCCCAGCUUACUGUGUCACCUUGGCUGUCCCAAGAUGUGAGUUCCUCCUUGGAGAUGCAGUUCACAGCCAGAGUGAUCGCUAAGCUUCCUCCCUGCAUUAAAAUUCUAUUAUUCUAAGUCUUUCUCACUUCUCUGGAAUUUCCUGUGAUAUGGAUGCUUGCAAUUAUUACACCUCUGACAAUUGAUGCCAAUAAAAAAGCAUCUACAACAUCGGACAAUGA